rnacentral:rRNA from 1 species
UACGUAGGGCGCAAGCGUUAUCCGGAAUUAUUGGGCGUAAAGCGCGUGUAGGCGGCUUUGCAAGUCGGGUGUGAAAGCCCUCAGCUCAACUGAGGAAGUGCGCCCGAAACUGCAGAGCUUGAGUACCGGAGAGGAUGGCGGAAUUCCCCAAGUAGAGGUGAAAUUCGUAGAUAUGGGGAGGAACACCGGUGGCGAAGGCGGCCAUCUGGACGGAUACGUGACGCUGAGACGCGAAAGCGUGGGGAGCAAACAGG